rnacentral:rRNA from 1 species
UACGAAGGGUGCUAGCGUUGUUCGGAAUUACUGGGCGUAAAGCGCGCGUAGGCGGCUAUUCAAGUCAGAGGUGAAAUCCCUGGGCUCAACCCAGGAAUUGCCUUUGAAACUGUAUAGCUUGAGUGUCGGAGGGGAUAGCGGAAUUCCUAAUGUAGAGGUGAAAUUCGUAGAUAUUAGGAGGAACACCGGUGGCGAAGGCGGCUAUCUGGACGACAACUGACGCUGAGGCGCGAAAGCGUGGGGAGCAAACAGGGAU